UACAGAGGUCCCAAGCGUUGUUCGGAUUCAUUGGGCGUAAAGGGUGUGUAGGUGGCGCCGUAAGUCGGGUGUGAAAUCUCGGGGCUUAACUCCGAAACUGCAUUCGAUACUGCCGUGCUUGAGGACUGGAGAGGAGACUGGAAUUUACGGUGUAGCGGUGAAAUGCGUAGAUAUCGAGAGGAACACCUGCGGCGAAGGCGGGUUGCUGGGCUGACACUGACGCUGAAGCGCGAAAGCUAGGGGAGCGAACGGG
rnacentral:rRNA from 1 species